AACUUGAUCUCCCUUCCUCCCCAGCCGAGCCCUCCCGAGCUCACCACUUUAUAGUUUCGGGGCCCUAGCUCAGCCCAUUCUUACGGCUUGAACCAAAUCUUGAAUUCCUCUCCCGCUUCCCUUCCUCCUUGCUUGUCUCUCUCUGGUUCCCCGUGACUUCCCUGUCCUUGGGGCCUGCUUCCUGAUGAAUGCCAGGGUUCCGGGGCUUUCUCAGGUUCGCCAGACCUGCGUGACCCGUUUUUCUCAUCGUUUGUCCAGAGACGACCGCUGCCCUCACAGCACACCUUUCAGAGAGCCUUACCUAAUGCUCGCUCCUCCUCCCUUCCCGGGCCUUCAGUUCUUUCUUAGCUCUAUCACUCUAUUGAAAACGUCUGUUUGCCUCUCUUGAACCCUAUAAAAUUGGUAGUUCAUUCAUUUAGUCAACACGUAUUUAUUGAACAUCUUCUCUGUUAUGUGUUAACCUAUUGUUAUGUUUGGGGAAAUAAUAGAAAUAAAAAGCCAGAGCUCCUCCUCUCAGGGCAGAUAAAAGAUGCUUUCUGAGACAAAAACCAUGUUAUGUUUAUAUAUGUGACCUGGAACACACAGAUGCUCAAUACGUUUUGAAGAGAUGGAUGAAAGCAAAAGCUCUGAAGCCACCCUGUAAGGUUGCUGUGGUCCCGUUCUAGUGCUCCAUUUUUUUAAGGCUCAGGCUGAUACAGGAAUCCUGCCUGUGGAACUUAGGUUGGAAAAAUUAAAAGGAAGGGGCUCAUGGCUGAAUCUGAAUCAUGAGUCAUAUGCUUUCACUUGUACAUAGGAAGGGGCCCUGGACCUUCUCUUCCCUCUAGUGGCACUGCUGUCCAGGGGGGGAUGUUUCUGCAUCCACCUGCUGAGCUUACUGUGUCUUCACUGGGGGAGGCUCCAUGGACACAGAUUGUCCAAGACCAUGUGGGUGAGCUUUUGGAUGGGAAGAUUCCAGAGGAUAUCCCCAAAGGAGAGGUGAACAAAAUAAGCUGGAAAGACAUCUGGCUCAAAGUCUCAUUUUGUGGGAUCUCACAUCUCAUUGAAGGCACAGGCUAAAACCAAUCUUGUGAAGUCAACUUGCAGUGUCCUUUUCAAUGCCACCUCUUGGUUAUUGAGAAGAUAUGUGAACACAUGUGACAAGUGCUUUGUAAACCGUAAGGUGAUGCAAAUAUGUCAGUGAUUGUUGGAAGGCAGCAGGAAGCCAGUUAAGCCUAAAUUAGCAUCCUAUCUCUUACCAACUUUGUAAACACAGUCAACUGAGUUAACUUUUCUGAACUUGUCUCUUCACUUGUAGAAUAGGGACAGGCAAAGCCUACCUCAGAGGUUAGGAGGAAGUGAGGUAGCACAGAUAAAGCACCCAGUGCUUUGUUGACUUAAUUAAUAGUAACUAAUAUUAUGAUUUUAUUAUUCCUAAUACAUUCAAAUGCCUCAAAAUUCCUAUUUAUAUCUUGAAAUUCUUUAUAUAUUGAUUUAAACAAUUGCCAUCCGCCAAAUCAGAAAAGACUGAUAAAUAGAAAGAAAAUAUCAGUGAUGUUUCCUAUAUCUGGAGGUUAAUCACUGAUACCAACUCUAGACACUCUUCUAGAUUUUCGUAUACAUAGUCUACUUGUAAAAAUAUAAUGUUUUGCAACUUGCUUUUCAAUUAACUCAAUAACAUAUUAUGAGGAAAUUUCUAUUAAUAAUUGCAUUUUCACAUCAUUUAAAGGGACCGCAGGGCUCUUCUACUUCUGGGAAGAGGAGUAAGUGAACUUUUCCCUGUUCUUUCCCCUAAGUAAAACUAAAAACCCUGUACAUUAUAUAUAAAACAAUGUAAACAGACUCUAAGAGGUGAAAAGAAAAAGAUAGAUUGUAUAAAGACCUUCGGGAUCUGAAGAAUGACUUUGAGAUGAGCUCCCUGCAUUUUCUUUUCCUCAUAUAUCGCAGUAUUGGAACCAGAUAGGCUGGCAACUUGGAAACACCCAUGGGUACAGACCUAAAAAAAAACAUGAAAAGCCUGUUGUCUCUGGCCAAAGGAUAAGGAAAGAAGCAGCCUAGAAAGGUAGAAAACUGUUAGGCAAUAACGAAUCUACUCAAGUCAAAAACCACAGAAAAUACUGUGUUCCUGCUCUCACCCAUGCCUGCAAAGGCCAAGUGGCCCUUGAUCCCCACCCUCACGAGGCUGUAAUGAGGCAGUGCCAACACACACCCACACUGGAGUAAUGUUAAGGCAGGCCAAGCAGGGAGCCAGGACUUCCUUCUCUAUAGCUGGAAAUAAAUUCUCCCCACCCCAACAUCACAGCCUCACCAGAUGACCUGCUUUAAAAGAACAGCCAGAGCAAGUGCCCCCAAACACAGGAGGGAUGAUGACAGAAGGAACACUGGAGCACCAGUAAGGAGACAGAGUAAGAUGAUCAGAAACAUGGGUGUGAAUUCAACAGGCUUUCCAUCCCUUGACUUUUCUAAAUUAUGUUUGGUGGUUGAAAAAAGAAUUACAACACUCUUUGAUGUGGUUCUAAACAUAUGUAGAGGAAAUAUUUAAGUCAAUUAUAAGGGGAGAGGGUAAAAAGACUAAAUGGAAAUAAGAUUUCUAUUCUUCACUCAAACUGGUGAAAUGUCAUCACUAGUAGACUAUAUUAAGAUAUAUAAUAUGUACAUAUAUAUGUGUACAUGUAUAUAUAUAUAAAGUAAUAUCUACAGCAAUUAGUUAAAAGCUACACAAAGUGAUGCAUUUAAAACAUAUGGAUAAAUGAAAAUGGAAUUCUAGAAAACAUCCAAGUAAAUAACAGAAAGACAGAAAAGAGAAAACAGAAAUGAAAAAUAGACCAAGCAGAAUAUAAAAUAUA